AACACCAUGUCUCCCCGGAUCUUCAGAGGCCCCCGGUCGAGAAGAGGAUGGCAAAGGAUGACCAUUAAGUGACUAUUCAAAGAGGAGAUACAACAGGAAUAA